rnacentral:rRNA from 1 species
UGGUUUGCUAGUGGCGCACGGGUGAGUAACACGUGGGUGACCUACCCCGAAGUGGGGGAUAACCACUAGAAAUGGUGGCUAAUACCGCAUAUGCUUAAUUAUUCGUUUGAUUAAGUAAAACUCCGGUGCUUCGGGAGGGGCCUGCGGUCGAUUAGUUAGUUGGUGAGGUAAUGGCUCACCAAGACGAUGAUCGAUAGGGGGCGUGAGAGCGUGACCCCCCACACUGGAACUGAGACACGGUCCAG